UAUACAGACCUGGUCCUCUGUCCUGUCAGAGAUCCUUCUGCCCCCAUGCCCUUCUGUGGCACCAGGUCUUUGCAAUAAGACUAGAGGAGAAGAGGGAGGAAGGAAUAUGAAGGUGGAUGAAUUCAUGAAACGUGAUGCUUACACAGAAGUGUUUUGAAGCCUCCUGCAGAAAAUGGUAGAAGAUGGAGAGGACCCUGUGAUGGCAGAAUGGAAGACAAGGAAGCUCCAGCAGCCCUCAUAAGAGGGAGGGUUGCUGCAGUGGGGAAAUGCUGUGGAAAAUAUUUUGGACUGCUCUGCUGCAAUAACAAUCCAAAUUUACUGUUUCCCUUGAAAUGUAUUUAGAAACUGAGCAACCGGCUACAGCACCAUGUAGUUAAGACAUCACAAGUUGGAAAUAGCCACAGGUUUUCUGCUGGAAUCAGUCUAGGAUGGUCUCACACUAAGCAUGACUGAGCUAUGACUGAGGUGGUUCAAGUUUUUGCUUCAUUCUGCAGGACUCAUGACCUCAAAGAAAAGGAUUGCCUUGCUGAAGCAAAGGGAAGGAACAGAUGCAUAUAUCCUGAUUCUCAGUACACAUCAAUGUAAAGAGCACAGUUGAGCCACAGUAAUAUACAAUACCUGUCAACAUUCAGCUAAAUAUUUCACCAAAAGAGCUGAGGAAAAUAUAAGAGAUGCAUAAAAGUAUCUUCUAGAAACUUUAUGAUAAGUUUUCACUGUUAAAAGGUAGACUUUCUCUAGGAGUUCAGUAAUCAGUGUCAUACUAUUCUAAAAUCUGGACUUGAAGAAGAUGAUAGCCACCAAGGAGAUUAUGGUUUUAUUUAUCACUUGUAUUCUGCAGGAGAGACAGAAACAAUAAAAAUCAAAAACUCUGUCCUGUUCCUUCAAAGAAGUGUAGGUACCUGUCUCUGUGAGGUCACUCUGGGCACUGGUGGAAUGAAAGGAGGCCUCUACCUGCCACCCUGACUUAGGCAUCAAAAGCCUAAAGUUCAGUCUGGUGUCUAAGUGUUUGUGCUUAAUAGGAAAGCUAUUUUAUGCCUCAUAUAUAACAAGUCACUACAUAGGAAGCCUACUACCAGGCACAAAGCUCUGCAUUCUGCAUGCCUGGGCAUUGCUUUGUAGGGCACUGGAGUCCUUUGUUGGAUCUAGACUUACCCAGUAUCCCAGCAGACAUGACAUUCACAAGGAAUUGAAUUCAAAUGUCCUGAGUCCUAAAGUAAUAAUACCUCAAAAUCCUGUUUCUCAGAACAGAACUGCAGUGUCAACCACACAGAAAAGGAACAAACAAGCUAUUUGUUGUUGGUAGGGUUACACUGCACUACCCACCCUCCUCGAACAGAAAGCUUAGGAUGAUAUUUUGAGAUCACCAUCUGUAUUAUGGGCACCAGCUGUCAGAAAAUUACUUCAUUCUGUCAAAACUGGAGACUGCCUGUGAUUUUGCUGAAGUGCCAGGACAGUCAAUGUCCAUGGUGUAUCUAAGGAGUUGUUCUGACCUUCAGGUGAAGCAACUUGGAAACACAAAUGAAGGCUAAGUGGUUUCCACCAGGCAAGAAAUGCACCAUUGAUUUGAAACACUUUGCUUACUGUCUUAUUACUAUUAUACAGCAGAGAUUAUGAAAAACGGGAAUAAACGUCACAUUUGUUGAGAGUCAUGUGACAGGCUGACAGAAAAUUCAUCCAUCAAGCUGUCUCUUUGGUCUAUAUAAAACUUAUCAAAUACAUAGUAUUUCAAAGUGCUUUAUCUCUGCUUAAGUAAUGAGUUAAUAGCUGUACUGUCUUCCUAAGUGCCCUUGUUCCCAAAGAGCUCAGGAAAUCAUCCCACUCCUGUAGGAUGUUUUCAUGUCUUAUGCUGAUGCUGGACUGUUUUUCUCUUACUUCUAUUGAAACCAUAGACAAAGCUGUAAGUCUGUUCAUAUUCCCUCUUAACACCUUGUGCAGAAUUUCGUCUACAACACCUACAGAGAAGGUCAAAGGGAGAUUGUUACAUCUGGUUCAGGGAGGAAAGACUGAAUCAGCUAUGCAAACAAAAAAGAUCUGUACCAUAGGAUAAAGAGAUUGACCUUUAGACAUAGCAAUAAUAGUAGAAUGAAACAGUCAUAAAGAUGUUAACCAAAUGAUUUGAUCUGACAAUCCCAAAUCAAAAUGAAACUUUUUGAUCUUUCAUUUUUUAAAUUCUUUGUUGCUGAAAUAAAAUUGGCUUAUGUGGGCAAGUUUAGUUAAGGGUCUAAACAAAAUGAAGAAUCCCACAUUUGUCACAUAACAAGUCCAGAGCUGAUGUGCAACUGGUCAUCUUCCGGACUUUAUUUUUUGAACAUAAAUAUUCACAGUAAGUCUUAGAAUUAAAGUUUUAUAAUCCUGGUCAUUGUGAUAAAUGGUUACAAGCUUUAAAAGGUGAACUUUUAGCUAAAAUGAAAAAUUCUCUAUACACAAGAACAACCUCAGUAGCUGCAAAACUGGACCUUAAAAUCCAGAUUUAUAACUCCUCAGGUUUUUACAGAAUAUCAGCGAUACAUGGACUGGAGUACAUUUUCAGUGCAGACACACCUGAGUUAGUUCAAUGGCACUAAAAGCAUUGUCCAGUCUCCCCUUGAAGCUGCCCCAUAUGAGUCACUUAAGGUCUCAAAGCAGCAUGAAAAUGAACAAGCAGUAAGGUCUGAAAUUUUUUAGCAUUUCACAGACUCUUACUAGGAAAUGUGUCCUGCUGUAAGGAGUCUGCAAUGCGAAUAAGAUAGGGAAUGACAGGGAGAGAUAGCACUGAGGAAGUGGUCUGUCCAAAAGACCAAUGGCUGACUGCAGUGUAGCAUCUGUCUCCCCUCACUUUGUAAGAUCAUUGCAAGUGUUUUGCCCAUUUUACAGGCACAUUAUUUGCCCAAACACAAUUCUGAUACUUAUUUUGAAAGCAAUAUCAAAACAUGAUGUUGCUAGCUUCCCAGUGAGGUUAAAACACCUUUAAAUGAUAUACAUCUUGAAUUUUCUAAUCUGCUCAGCCAGAGAACCACACUGUUAACAGACUUUUGUGCUCCAGAUACCACUGAAAAAAUCUUUAUUCUCUCUACUAGUGAGUGACCAAAUGAUCAGUGUAAAGAUGCAUAUAUCCUAUAACCUGAGAAACCUGUGUUCUUAAAAGACAUGUGCCAUUUUUUCAUUUGGAUACUACUUGCCAGAGUACCAGGGGGUAUAGAAACACAGGAGCUUCCCAGUAUAAAAGGAGAGAGAAAGAGUGUGUAGCUACCAUAUAGACCUAAGACAGCCUGUGUCCUCUUUCGACCAAGGUGCAGUGCAGGAUGCUUUCAGGAAAGGUGCCAAUGCUCUCAUAAUGGAUAAUUAUUUUAGAUUAUUCUGUUGUCUACCAGUGAUGAAUCUCAUCUUAAUGGCAGCUUGAGAGAUCUGUGGUCUGCUACACAAUAGAGCAUUAUCUGAGACUGAUUAUCUGAGUUCAUUCCCCUUUUUGUAUUCUCAGUAGGCUUUGGGGAAUAACAGAUGCAGCCAACUGACAGGCAAACUUUUUACUUUCUUUCCCCUCCCUCCCGAACUGCUGUGAAGAUAUCCAUUAUCUCAGUCAGCAAACAUGCAAGCUCUUCUGUACCCACACCAGGAAUUACAAGAUGGUCAGCUGACUAAGAUGGAGAAGAAACACAAAGGCAACCCAGGAGUCUGAAACAUAAACUAUCCUUUCUCUGGAUGGCUACUUGGCAAAGACGAGAAGCUGCCUGGAAGGAACACGAGUGAUAUCUCAGCACCAUGAACUCUCCGAUCAUUGCCACCUCUCUAACACAUUUUUACAAUGCAUGCUGGAAAGUUGCUGUCAGUGAUUGAACCAGUAGGUCCAGUGCAAUGGGACUAUUUCUGAAUUAAUGGUUCAAAUCCAGGAAAGAAAUAUUUCAUCCUGAACCUAUCUCCUCUUCUUAGCCUCUUGCCUUUAUUAUGCCUUUAAGUUGCAAACUCCUUCUGAGGAACUUUUCCUAACAAAAAGCAUGCACAGUGCCCAACACACUCAGGCCUUGCUCCUGGGUAAGGCCUCAAGUUUCUACCUCGGCAGAGUAUCCAAUACUAUGAGUAUCAUCCUAAUUCAAAAAGAAUCAUUAAAUGUUAGUUGGUUUGGUUUUCUGAACAUUUUACAAUCCUUAAGGAAAGAAGUCAGAAAAUAUUAUUGCUAUAUGAGUAUUUUACUUAAUGCUUUAAGCUUCCAAACUGGUUAGAGGUGCUAGAGAACAUUGUGGGCAUGUCAUGAUGCCAGAAGCACCUGAGAAAGAAUCACGUUGUCCAAGUCAGUAGAGACUAUUAACCAAACACUUGAGGCUUUUAACUGUGAGGAAUAAAGAGCUGGAGGCAUGAUAUUGGAGGUGAAAAGGCUACUGAAGGCAUCCUUGGGGAAUAUCUUUUGUAUUCUCCUAGGAAAUAAAAAAACUUCCAGUGAGAGGAAACAAAAGACCUGAACAGCAGGAAUAUUUUGGGACUGGAGCCAGGGAAAAGAGUCAGUAACAAAGACUGGUAAUUUUGCAUGAAUUGCUGUUUUGUGUUGUUGAGCACCAGGACACAGCUGGUGUACUGGCAAACCUGAGGAUUUGUAUUAACAGUAUUGAAAUUAUAAUGAAGUUUUUAUUUUAUGAUUACAGAUGUUGGUGAAUUAUUGUUAUUAAACCUAUUAGUGUAAUAGUACAAAUAUGAGUUUCUCUUUGCUUACAGUCUUAAAUGUUGUAAGUUUGUGAAAUUAAUUUUAGAUAGCUAAUGAAUAAUUCAAAAUAAUAUAAAAGGUCAGUUGAGUUAAAAGCACAGAGGCAAAGGUGAAGUAGUUUGUCAGAUUCAAAUCGUUGGGAGUUUGGAGUGAAUUCACUGCCUUCCUCUGUUACACUCUGGACAGGCACUUAGCAGUUCUGUAGGGUGAUCCCAGGUACAGCAGAAGCAAGAGCGAGAUCUGGGGUUGUUUUAUGAACCACUGAAAGACCAACAGUCUGUUUUGCAAAUUGGUUUCUCCCUUUGCCUCAUCUGAAAAAAAAACAAAAACCCAAACACCAAAACCACCAAAUAUCUAAUUACUCGGGACAUCUAGAUUUCUGUCUGCGUUAAGUGGAGCAUCUCAAAGCUGCCCCAUUUUCAGAAAGGAGGCUCAUUGUGUUUAUGUUUUUAGUGAACUAGUCUUUUCUCAGCUGAACAACCAACGUACUAACCAUAGUUGUGAAUACUAGCUUGCUACAUAAGAGAUGCAAUUUUCAGCUUACUCAGUAUAGUGACCAAGUUUCUUCCUUUUUUUUUUUUGUUUGUUUGUUUUAAUAUAAAACAUGUAAAACAGGUGUACUAGGAUAUUUGGCUUGUUAUGUAUGAUUUAGGCAUAUAUGAAAUACAUUAAGGCAGUUCACUACCCUUAUGAACUUGCAGUCUCUCUGGCUGUUAGACAAUAGUUGGGAUUUCCCCAGCACAGCUCUGUGGUUGCCCCUCCCUAAGCAAUGGGAUUUUUUGAGACAAUACUUACUGCCAAGCCACACUAAAAUGUGAAGCUCUAGUUUUUUAAUAUACCUCUCCAGGCUGUGGUAAGCAGCCUUUGGCAGCUAACCAACCAGCCAGUGACAGGUGCUGAGGCGCCAGAAGAAAGUCAUGCUGCAGAUAGAGUGAGCGCUGCACUCUCACAAGAAAAUCUAACACGGGAGUCCUCAAAUGUGUUAAGAGCAAAGAAAAUUGCAAAAGGAUCAUUCUGGCCCACUCUUGCUACAGGAAUUUGGAAAUACACUGUGGCUAAUCCCGGGCCUGCCGAUGCCCUUGAAGCAUUGGCUAGGACACACACGUGGACAAUGUGCAAGUGCUACAAUGAAUCUCUCUGCUUCUGUACGUGAUCAGCCAGCUCGACUACAAAAUCAUGAUAACUGGUUUCUGCUAGAGAGUACUAAGGUUUAUACCCUUUCUCUGAUCUGUGUGUUAAGCCUCUGCUUGCAAAAGGAGGAAUAAACUGCUUGGUUUGAAGACCUUGGGAAAGAACUUUAAACUCUUGUCUGUCUAUGCACAUACUUUGAGACAUAUAAACAAAACAGCCUUUGAAAAGCCAGUCCUUGGAAAUCAUAAAAUAAAU